rnacentral:rRNA from 1 species
AGAACGAACGCUGGCGGCAUGCCUAAUACAUGCAAGUCGAACGAACACUUCGGUGUUAGUGGCGCACGGGUGCGUAACGCGUGGGAAUCUGCCCUUGGGUUCGGAAUAACAGUUGGAAACGACUGCUAAUACCGGAUGAUAUCGAAAGAUCAAAGAUUUAUCGCCCAGGGAUGAGCCCGCGUAGGAUUAGCUAGUUGGUGAGGUAAAGGCUCACCAAGGCGACGAUCCUUAGCUGGUCUGAGAGGAUGAUCAGCCACACUGGGACUGAGACACGGCCCAGACUCCUACGGGAGGCAGCAGUAGGGAAUAUUGGACAAGUGGGCGCAAGCCUGAUCCAGCAAUGCCGCGUGAGUGAUGAAGGCCUUAGGGUUGUAAAGCUUCUUUACCCGAGUAUGAUAAUGACUAGUAUACGGAAGAAGUAACGCCCCGGACUAACCGUCCGUGCUAGCGACGCCGAC